CCUACGGGAGGCUGCAGUGGGGAAUAUUGCACAAUGGGGGAAACUCUGAUGCAGCGACGCCGCGUGAGCGAUGAAGUAUUUCGGUAUGUAAAGCUCUAUCAGCAGGGAAGAAAAUGACGGUACCUGACUAAGAAGCCCCGGCUAACUACGUGCCAGCAGCCGCGGUAAUACGUAGGGGGCAAGCGUUAUCCGGAUUUACUGGGUGUAAAGGGAGCGUAGACGGGUGGGCAAGCCAGAUGUGAAAGCCCGCGGCUCAACCCCGGGACUGCAUUUGGAACUGUGUGGCUGGAGUGUCGGAGAGGCAGGCGGAAUUCCUAGUGUAGCGGUGAAAUGCGUAGAUAUUAGGAGGAACACCAGUGGCGAAGGCGGCCUGCUGGACGAUGACUGACGUUGAGGCUCGAAAGCGUGGGGAGCAAACAGGAUUAGAUACCCUUGUAGUC
rnacentral:rRNA from 1 species